CGGGGGUGAGUAAACACGUGAGUAAACCCUGCCCCUUCACUCUGGGAUAACUCCGGGAAAACCGGGGGGUAAUACUGGAUAUGACUCCUCCUCGCAUGGGGUGGGAGUGGAAAGCUUUUGUGGUGGAGGAUGGACUCGCGGCCUAUCAGCUUGUUGGUGAGGUAGUGGCUCACCAAGGCGACGACGGGUAGCCGGCCUGAGAGGGCGACCGGCCACACUGGGACUGAGACACGGCCCAGACUCCUACGGGAGGCAGCAGUGGGGAAUAUUGCACAAUGGGCGAAAGCCUGAUGCAGCGACGCCGCGUGAGGGAUGAAGGCCUUCGGGUUGUAAACCUCUUUCAGCUCUGAAGAAGCGAAAGUGACGGUAGGAGCAGAAGAAGCACCGGCUAACUACGUGC
rnacentral:rRNA from 1 species